CAGUAGCCGCGGUAAUACAAAGGGUGCAAGCGUUACUCGGAAUUACUGGGCGUAAAGCGUGUGUAGGUGGUUGUUUAAGUCUGUCGUGAAAGCCCUGGGCUCAACCUGGGAAUUGCGAUGGAUACUGGGCGACUAGAGUGCGGUAGAGGAUAGUGGAAUUUCCGGUGUAGCAGUGAAAUGCGUAGAGAUCGGAAGGAACAUCUGUGGCGAAGGCGACUAUCUGGGCCAACACUGACACUGAGACACGAAAGCGUGGGGAGCAAACAGGAUUAGAUACCCCCGUAGUCCCUGUCUCUUAUAC
rnacentral:rRNA from 1 species